rnacentral:tRNA from 1 species
AUUUAUAUAGUAUAUAAAGUAUGUUUGACUUCCAAUCAAACGGUCUAAUUAUUUUUAGUAUAAAUA